GGGGUGAGGGCGGGAGCGAGCCUCACCUCACCUCCUCCCCCCGCGCCGCCCCGGCGGGUGYCCGCCUUCCGGCUCCCGCUGCCUCACGGCUCCCUCGGAGCUCCGGGCUUCGCCGGAGCGGCGACGUGCGGCCCUGAGGAGCGGCUCCGCGAGGGCGGUGCCGGCCGCGCCCCUGCGGCAGCGGCCGUUGGGCCCGAGAAGGCCCCUCAGCUGCCGGCUUUGGCGUGUAACAGGGGGAGGGACACAGCCCUCUCGGCCGCUGAGGAGCAGGACAAGCUGUAAUAGAGCUGCCACGGGGGAGGGGAAGUCCUAAACCAGCUAUUUCCUUUGGGCUGUUUUUGAAAUACCGCAGAUGCAGAAUACGGGGCCUUUCCCCUCCAGAUUGGGAGGACGGGACUAGCACCGCCGGGAGAGACGUGACGGAAACUUGCUGAGGAGAUGCAGGGAGGGUGASGAUUGUGAAUUUAGCUUGAUGGUAAACAAGGCUAGAGGAACUGCUACGCUUCAAGUAGUAUGGAAGAAGUGUUCAUCCUCCUGUUAAAAUAAGAGCACGAAUGCUUUCAGACAUCACUAUAAAAUAACCAUAAAUGCAGCUCUACACACGGCAAGAUGUCCCUACACCCAUGCUGUGAGAGGAAACAGCUGUCUGCAGGAUAAGGCGUUGUACGAGAGCAGAAAAUUGAAGCCAUGGGCAAGGACAGUGKGCAGGGUUUGGGGCAUGUGCUGCAGAUUUAGAUGCCACAUGGCAGUCCAAGGCCUUCUCCAGAAUGGCAGCAGAAUGCAAACCAAGGGAAAAUCYCCCAGCACUUUGGAGAUGGCACAUGGGAAACCAGACUACUACUUUCAGCAAGAACUGCUUUAGGAGAAGACUUUGAUGAAAUAAAUCCUUCUUGCUUGGAUCUGAAUCAGUACCUGGUAAUCAGAACUGCUUUUUGAUAUUAAACCACAUCUCUCUUUGGGGGUCUGAUAUCAGAUAAUCCCUUUGGAUUUACUUCUGUUUUUUUCUUAAACUGGCAAAUGACUUCUGUUUGCAUUUGUCACUGUCAUUACUAGUCACCCAAACUGCAAAACUAAAGCUUGAAUAGAUGGAGUCAUUUGGCUUCCUCCUGCUUUCUGAAAAGAUCUGGUUUAGAGAAAAAUCUAAUUCUUCAUCAUUGCUCGGUUGACAGCACAGGCUCUUCAUUCUCUGGCUGACUUUGUUCUUCAUAAGGAACGUUCUCCUCUUUACUGUCUCCUGGUAUAUAAUAUAUUGCAAUAAAAAGGAAAUCCUAUUAGGUGUUAAGAAGAAU
rnacentral:lncRNA from 1 species